AUAUGUUUUAUUCUUGCUAAAUAAUUUACUUUAAAAUUUUUUUACAUGUAAUAUUUUUAAUGAAUUAAGUUUAAUUUUAAAAAUUAGGUUUUUGUUAUUUAUUCGCAGUAAUUAAUAUUAUAAAAUUAAUAAAAGUUAGAUAUAGAAAUUUUUAUUUUGUAUUGGUAAAAUUUGUGCCAGCUACCGCGGUUAUACAAAUAAUGCAAGUAAAUUUUAUUAGUAUUAGUUAUAUAAAUUAAUAAAAUUAAAAAAAAUAAUAUUAAUUUUUUUAGGUGAAAUUUUAAAAAUUAAUUUAUUUUUAUAAAUAAAAUUAUUUUAAGCUAUGAAAUUUUAAAAAUAAACUAGGAUUAGAUACCCUAUUAUUUAAAUUGUUAAAUAAAAAUGCUUGAGUAGUAAUAGAUAAAAUCUUUAAACUUAAAGAAUUUGGCGGUGUUUUAGUCUAUUCAGAGGAACCUGUUCUAUAAUCGAUAAUCCUCGAAUACCUUACUUAAAUUGGUUUAACAAUAUGUAUAUCGCCGUCGUUAGAAUAUCUUAAAAGAGAAAUAAUUUUCUUAAAUUUAAAUUAAUUAUUAUGUCAGGUCAAGGUGCAGUUUAUGUUUAAGUAGAAAUGGGUUACAAUAUAAUUUAUAUAAACGGAUAAUUUUUUAAAAUUUUAAGAGUUUGAAGGUGGAUUUGAUAGUAAAUUAAUUUGUAUAAAAAUUAAUUGAUUUUAGCUCUAAAACAUGCACACAUCGCCCGUCGCUCUCAUUAUAAUUUUUAAAAUGAGAUAAGUCGUAACAUAGUAGAUGUACCGGAAGGUGUAUCUAGAAAAA
rnacentral:ncRNA from 1 species